CCAAUAGCGUAUAUUAAAGUUGUUGCAGUUAAAAAGCUCGUAGUUGAAUUUCGAGACCGGUUUACUGGUCGUGCUUUUGUACGUACUGGUAUUAUCGGUUUCUCCUUUCUGACGAACCAUAAUGCCAUUAAUUUGGUGUUUUGGGAAAUCAGGACUGUUACUUUGAAAAAAUUAGAGUGUUUAAAGCAGGCUCACGCUUGAAUACAUUAGCAUGGAAUAACGGAAUAGGACGUUUGAUUCUAUUUUGUUGGUUUCUAGGAUCGACGUAAUGAUUAAUAGGGAUAGUUGGGGGCAUUAGUA
rnacentral:rRNA from 1 species